AGAAAAGUAAGCUAUAUUUAAGCUACUGGGCUCAUACCCCACUUAUAAAGGU
rnacentral:tRNA from 1 species